rfam:Candidatus Levybacteria bacterium RIFCSPHIGHO2_01_FTLL_41_15 rifcsphigho2_01_scaffold_451, whole genome shotgun sequence.
GGCCGAUUAGCUCAGCUGGUUAGAGCGCUUCAUUCACAUUGAAGAAGUCGGGGGUUCGAAUCCCUCAUCGGCCA